GACGAACGCUGGCGGCGUGCUUAACACAUGCAAGUCGAACGGAAAGGCCCUGCUUUUGUGGGGUGCUCGAGUGGCGAACGGGUGAGUAACACGUGAGUAACCUGCCCUGGACGUUGGGAUAACUUCAGGAAACUGGGACUAAUACCGGAUAGGAGCUCCUGCUGCAUGGUGGGGGUUGGAAAGUUUCGGCGGUUGGGGAUGUACUCGCGGCUUAUCAGCUUGUUGGUGGGGUAGUGGCUUACCAAGGCUUUGACGGGUAGCCGGCCUGAGAGGGUGACCGGCCACGUUGGGACUGAGAUACGGCACAGACUCCUACGGGAGGCAGCAGUGGGGUAUAUUGCACAAUGGGAUGAAGCCUGAUGCAGUACCGCCGCGUGCGGGAUGACGGCCUUCGGGUUGUAAACCGCUUUCGCCUGUGACGAAGAGUGAGUGACGGUAAUGGGUAAAGAAGCACCGGCUAACUACGUG
rnacentral:rRNA from 1 species